CUUCUGAGAAGUACUUGGGAGCGGGUGUUUUGGGCUGAAUUAUGUGGGUGAACAUAACUACAGAGAGCUUGAACUUUCUUCUGGAGGAGAGGUAGAUAAUGUGUUGGCUUUUUAUAUUUGACCAAAAUCAUCACACACCUUUCGUGUCUACAAGCUUCACUUCCCAUGUGCCAUGAGAAGAACAAUUUCUGAUGCUUAGAACUAUCUUAGGCUAGUGGCCAUUUUAGUUAAAACUUACAGCUGUUGUUUUAAAAAUUAGGCUCUUUCUAUUAAUAUCUUUAGUCAUUGAUAUUAGACCGUGAUUCUGUAAAGACUUUAAGGACAUGCUUAGCGGUGUGAAUAGUUCUAUAUAUUAUUCACAAGCUUAAAGUUAAGCAUGUGCGUAGGUCUUUGGGAUUGGGGUCUUAAACACUAGACAUUUCUGGUAUUUAAAUUGACAAGCCAGAGACACAAUAGUUGAACAAGUAAAAUACUUAAGACUAAUUUGGGGAAGAAAAUACCUUCAUAGUCUCACCAAAAAUACUUUUUUUUUUUUUUAAAGGUAAUUCUCCAUAUAUCUGUCUAAUAGGGAUGAAGUCCUGCCUGCCUGCUAGGAAAAUGGGUACUAAGAGCUAUGCAGUUUUGGAAAAAAUCUCUGUUCAGAGUGGUAUUAUAUGAUCUCAAUGUGUCACAAACAUAUAAAUGCAUUUGUGGAAACAAUGUUACAAUAGCAAGAUAAAAUGUCUCUAAGUCUUUAAAAGAUACUGUCUGAUAAAAAUUGUCAGGUGAAGCUGGGCCCCCUUGAAAAUAGUGGUUGGCUCUUUAUUAGAGGUGCCACAACAACAAGCUUUUUUCUGGGAAAUGACAAAUAGAGACGGUAUAUGGACAGGCAAAAGUACUUGAGAUUUUAUCUGUAAAGCCUUGUGAACAUUUGUCCUAACCUUUCAAUUAUUGCUUGAAAAAUCCAUGCACCCUAAUGGAUAAAACUUUUCAAAGCAAAUGAGGGCCACAAUACAUAAAUUUUGCAUAGCACUGUGUGGUUUUCUUUUCCCCCCUCCAAUCUUGCUCUAUUGGCUGUAAUUAUAACUUUCUAAAUGUGAAUUAAUAUAAGCUGAAGCAGUGUCAUCAUCCUGAAUCUGCAGCCAGACAGUUCCCCUGAUUUUACUGCUGGGAAAAUGAUGAGCAGCAUCAUGAAAUUUACAAGGUCACUUUUUCAUUGUUAGUAUUCAGAACAUGGUGGGCAGAAUUGAAACAAUAAAUUUCACAUUUUGCUUGAGGAAAGCUCUGAGUCUUAACAGAGGUACGUACUGGAAUUAUUCAAGGGAGAGGAGAUCCCAGAAGAGACUGAGGGGGAAUGAUAUAGUGGCAGAGGUAUAUUCUUCAAGCCCUGAUUUUGGUGUUUUAAGGAUGGGGAUAAACACCGCCUGGUGGGAUGUCUACCAUGCUUUACAAGUUUUGAGUUUUCUGUGUGUCAUAGCAAAUUGCUAGUCUAACUAGAAUCAUGAAACUAAAUUUUAAAAAGGAAAAAUGUGACCUGUAUACUAGUGGUUCCCAACAUUUCCAGACUACUGUACCCUUUCAGGAGUCUGAUUUGUCUUAGGUUUCAUCUCACUUAAAAACUACUUGCUUAUAAAAUCAGACAUAAAAAUACAAAAGUAUCACAGCACUCUAUUACUAAAAAAUUGAUUGUUUUUAGCAUAUAAUUAUAAAAUCAAUUGGAAUAUAAAUAUUGUACUUACAUUUCAGUGUAUAGUGUAUAUAGACCAGUAUAAACAAGCCAUUGUAUGAAAUUUUAGUUUGUAUUGACUUGGCUAACGCUUUUUAUGUAGCCUAUUAUAAAACUAGCAAAUAGCUAGAUGAGUUGACGUACGCCCUGGAAGACCUCUAUGUACCCUCAAGGGUAUGCGUACCUCUAGUUGAGAACCACUGCUGUAUAUAAUAAAUUCCUGACAUACAUAGCAGGCUGCAGAAACAGUCUUCCGAGACACACUGUGAUGGUCCUGUUUUUAGACGCUUAAAAUUAGGUUGGAAAAGGCACUGACUAGUAAAUGUACCUUAGGGAAUAAUCCUGAAUUGGCAGGGAAAUAGCAUUUUUUUUUAAACAGGUCUGUGUAUCAGCCAGUCUUUUUGUUAAUGGUACUGAACUCUGCUUUCAGCCAUUGUGUUGCUGAAAUGAGAAAUAGCAGCUGGCUGAGAAACCGACAAAUAGAGUAUUGGGGCUUUGUUUUUAUAAAAAUAUUAUUAAUGUAAUUUAGUGUAAUACUAAAGAUCUAAAUGUCUUAAAGAUUGGAAGACUUGCUUCUGAAAUGUAUUUAUAAUUGGCAUGAGUUUAGGGGAAUGUGAAGAAACUCUUUGCCUUGUCACAAUUGUCAAGAAAAGUUGUCUUUGCAAAUCAUUCUCCCCUGUCUGACAGUGGCAUCUCCAUAGUCCUAAUUUUUUGUUGUAUGGUGGUUAGAGAAUAAAUAAUGAUUUGGAGGGGAGAAAGGAAGUGUGUGAGUGGGGGUUCUCCUUGUGUUUCAAAUGAUUGUACUUAGAUCUUUAAUCAGUCAGGGCUGAUGAUUUUUGUUCACUUACUGGGUAUCUUCCUUUUGGUAAGUGGGCUCAUUACUGAGGAACCUUUUCUUCCUGAGUAAUGCAAAGGAAAUUAAAUCUUGUAGACUAAGGAUGUGAAGCUCAUUUGGAUGAGAGGGACAAAUCCCAUGUUUUAUUAUGGUCUGAGAGACCAGGUAUAAAUUCAAAAUGGCAUACUUCCCUCCUUCCACAAUGACACUAAUGAUAGUAGGUAAUUCCCACAGAGAUCAAUGGGACAAUAGAGUAUUUAUGUAGUAUCUAAACUCUUAUUUCUGUAUUUUCUUUUCUGCAGCAGCUCCCAGUUCCUGCUCCUUGAGGGCUUUUCUCCCUCCUAACCUGUUCCGUCCACCAGAAUGAUUGGUUUAUGUUGGCUUGGCAGUGCCAUCACCAUGAUCGUCUUUAAUGUUGACACUUGAACAUCAUAACUUUGAUUUAAACUCUGUUUAUCCUUUGGGAGGUUCUCUGCAGCCAUGAGAAUGAGAACCUUUUUUAAAGAAGAGCUUAGAUUCCACACAAUCUGAGUAUGUACUUCUGGGGGAAAUCUGUGCCACUGCGCAAUGCAGAAUUUCCUUUUCCCCCGCACAGAAUUGGUGCUGCAGAGCUGCUGGCUGCCACUAGGGGCCACUGGAGAGUCCAGUUUUCCCAACCCCCAAAUAAAUGAUACUGCUGUGGGGGAGGGGCAGGAGGAGCUGAAGGUUCUGAGGAGCUGCAGUUCCCAGCAGACUCUGAAGGAAGAAGGUGGCUUGCAGGAAACUCUGCACAAGCCUGGGACCCAGGUUUUCUCCCUCUGGAUUCUUGGGCUCCGGAAGAUGCCCCCCCCCCCAGCUGGGCUCUGUGGGGGAGGGGGUCACAGGUGUCUGGGCUCGGCAGGGCCAGCAGCUGGGCUCUGGUGGGAGAGGGGGUAGAGGAACAGAAACUGGGUUGUCAUAGGAGUUUAUUUAACUCUCUACUCUGGGGGAAAUAUUGUUUUUUGUUUUUGUUACAGAUAUAGUUGGUGACACUUAUUUUGAAAUAAACUACCAAAAUAAGUGAAA